UACGUAGGGGGCAAGCGUUAUCCGGAAUCAUUGGGCGUAAAGCGUGCGCAGGCGGCUUUGCAAGACAGAUGUGAAAUCCCCGGGCUCAACCUGGGAACUGCAUUUGUGACUGCAUGGCUAGAGUACGGUAGAGGGGGAUGGAAUUCCGCGUGUAGCAGUGAAAUGCGUAGAUAUGCGGAGGAACACCGAUGGCGAAGGCAAUCCCCUGGACCUGUACUGACGCUCAUGCACGAAAGCGUGGGGAGCAAACAGG
rnacentral:rRNA from 1 species